GGGCCCGCACAAGCGGUGGAGUAUGUGGUUUAAUUCGAUGCAACGCGAAGAACCUUACCUGGUCUUGACAUACACAGAAUCUUGUAGAGAUACGAGAGUGCCUUCGGGAAUUGUGAUACAGGUGCUGCAUGGCUGUCGUCAGCUCGUGUCGUGAGAUGUUGGGUUAAGUCCCGCAACGAGCGCAACCCUUGUCCUUAGUUACCAGCGGGUUAAGCCGGGAACUCUAAGGAUACUGCCAGUGACAAACUGGAGGAAGGCGGGGACGACGUCAAGUCAUCAUGGCCCUUACGACCAGGGCUACACACGUGCUACAAUGGUAGUGACAAUGGGUUAAUCCCAAAAACUGUCUCAGUUCGGAUUGGGGUCUGCAACUCGACCCCAUGAAGUCGGAAUCGCUAGUAAUCG
rnacentral:rRNA from 1 species